UCAAAGCGCGUGGUGCAUGUCGAACGCCACUGUUGGCACGGGCGUAACCGAUGCGCGACCUUUAGUCGGUCGGUGAGUUUGACUGGGGUGAUACUUCUAUGAAACCGUGACGCAGUGAGCUCAGCGUGGACGGAAACCAAACAUAUUGCAAACGGGCAAAACAUUGCUCGAUCUCGAUUUUCAGUAUGGAUACGGACAUGAAAGCGUGGCCCAUCAAUCCUUUCCGAAGAGCGUCAGUCAAGCUAUGCGUCCACCGAGAGGUGUCUGAAAUGUUACCACAGGGACAACUGGCUUAUGGUAGUCAAGCGUUCACAGCGAAGUAGUUUUUGUUCCUUCGAUGUCGGCUCUUCUUAUCAUUGCGAAGCAGAAUUCGCAGAGCGUUGGGUUGUUCAUACACUAAUAGCGAAAAUGAGCCGGGUCUAGACAGUGGUGAGACAGGUAAGUCUUAUUGUAGCUAUGCAUCUCGCGUUCGCUCGUCGUCCGUCGCUAUCGCUGAUGCCUCUGCUAGAUUUGCGCAGGCGCCGGCAACGUCAACUCUAUCCUGUCCAGUCAGAGGAACGCUUGCGCACUCGCUCGAUAGAGCGGUGGCGCCAGGCUGCCCGGGUGCGAUAACUGUUGAACAACUCUAAGCCGGGACCGUAGCCGGAUCCGAGUUGUUAUCCAAAA
rnacentral:ncRNA from 1 species